UAAGACGAAGGUGGCGAGCGUUGUUCGGUGUUACUGGGCUUAAAGAGUAUGUAGGCGGAAAGGUAAGCGUCUUGUGAAAUCCCUCAGCUUAACUGAGGAAUCGCUCGGCGAACUGCCCUUCUUGAGGCAAGUAGGGGUACAUGGAACUCUUGGUGGAGCGGUGGAAUGCGUAGAUAUCAAGAGGAACGCCGAUGGUGAAAACAGUGUACUGGGCUUGUCCUGACGCUGAGAUACGAAAGCGUGGGGAGCGAACGGGAUUAGAUACCCCGGUAGUCCACGCCGUAAACGAUGUCUACUAGGUUGUGGGUGUUCUGACACAGUCACGGCCGAAGCAAAAGUGUUAAGUAGACCGCCUGGGGAGUACGGUCGCAAGGCUA
rnacentral:rRNA from 1 species